AGAUUCUACCAUUGGUCAGGCUACUAAGUCUGUACUGGUAUGUAGAAUUUCUACCUUCUGGGGAACUAUCAUGUUAUUAAUUUAGCGUGGUGGGAAACCAGGACCUUUACCUUGAAAAAUUAGAGUGUUUAAAGCAGGCUUAUGUCUGAAUACAUUAGCAUGGAAUAAUAGAAUAGGAUGGUGGUCCUGUUUGUUGGUUUCUGAAUCACUGUAAUGAUUAAUAGGGAUAGUUG
rnacentral:rRNA from 1 species